rnacentral:rRNA from 1 species
AACGAACGCUGGCGGCAGGCCUAACACAUGCAAGUCGAGCGCGCCCUUCGGGGUGAGCGGCGGACGGGUGAGUAACGCGUGGGAACGUGCCCUUCUCUGCGGAAUAGCCUCGGGAAACUGAGAGUAAUACCGCAUACGCCCUUUGGGGGAAAGAUUUAUCGGAGAAGGAUCGGCCCGCGUUGGAUUAGGUAGUUGGUGGGGUAAUGGCCCACCAAGCCGACGAUCCAUAGCUGGUUUGAGAGGAUGAUCAGCCACACUGGGACUGAGACACGGCCCAGACUCCUACGGGAGGCAGCAGUGGGGAAUCUUAGACAAUGGGGGCAACCCUGAUCUAGCCAUGCCGCGUGAGUGAUGAACGCCUUAGGGUUGUAAAGCUCUUUCAGCUGGGAAGAUAAUGACGGUACCAGCAGAAGAAGCCCCGGCUAACCCCGUG